AGAGUUUGAUCCUGGCUCAGGAUGAACGCUAGCUACAGGCUUAACACAUGCAAGUCGAGGGGCAGCAUGUUGGUUGCUUGCAACCAAUGAUGGCGACCGGCGCACGGGUGAGUAACGCGUAUCCAACCUACCCAAUACUCAGGCAUAACCCGUUGAAAGACGGACUAAUUCCUGAUGGUAUGUAUUUUUCUCAUGAGUUAUACAUUAAAGAAUUUCGGUAUUGGAUGGGGAUGCGUCUGAUUAGUUUGUUCGAUCAGUAGGGGUUCUGAGAGGAAGGUCCCCCACAUUGGAACUGAGACACGGUCCAAACUCCUACGGGAGGCAGCAGUGAGGAAUAUUGGUCAAUGGAUGAAAAUCUGAACCAGCCAAGUAGCGUGCAGGAUGACGGCCCUAUGGGUUGUAAACUGCUUUUAUGUGAGAAUAAAGUUAGGUAUGUAUACUUAUUUGCAUGUAUCACAUGAAUAAGGACCGGCUAAUUCCGUGCCAGCAGCCGCGGUAAUACGGAAGGUCCAGGCGUUAUCCGGAUUUAUUGGGUUUAAAGGGUGCGUAGGCCGUUUGAUAAGCGUGCUGUGAAAUAUAGUGGCUCAACCUCUAUCGUGCAGCGCGAACUGUUGAACUUGAGUGCGUAGUAGGUAGGCGGAAUUCGUGGUGUAGCGGUGAAAUGCUUAGAUAUCACGAAGAACUCCGAUUGCGAAGGCAGCUUACCGUAACGUUACUGACGCUUAAGCACGAAGGUGCGGGUAUCGAACAGGAUUAGAUACCCUGGUAGUCCGCACAGUAAACGAUGGAUGCUCGCUGUUGGCCUUUGUGGUCAGUGGCUUAGCGAAAGCGUUAAGCAUCCCACCUGGGGAGUACGCCGGCAACGGUGAAACUCAAAGGAAUUGACGGGGGCCCGCACAAGCGGAGGAACAUGUGGUUUA
rnacentral:rRNA from 1 species